rnacentral:rRNA from 1 species
AGAGUUUGAUCCUGGCUCAGGAUGAACGCUAGCGGCAGGCUUAAUACAUGCAAGUCGAGGGGCAGCGCAGUGUAGCAAUACAUGGGCGGCGACCGGCAAACGGGUGCGGAACACGUACACAACCUUCCUUUCAGCGGGGAAUAGCCCAGAGAAAUUUGGAUUAAUACCCCAUAGUAUAUUGGCCUGGCAUCAGGUUAUUAUUAAAGAUUUAUCACUGAAAGAUGGGUGUGCGGCUGAUUAGGUAGUUGGCGGGGUAACGGCCCACCAAGCCUGCGAUCAGUAACUGGUGUGAGAGCACGACCAGUCACACGGGCACUGAGACACGGGCCCGACUCCUACGGGAGGCAGCAGUAAGGAAUAUUGGUCAAUGGACGCAAGUCUGAACCAGCCAUGCCGCGUGGAGGAUGAAGGCCCUCUGGGUUGUAAACUUCUUUUAUCUGGGACGAAAAAAGGCCUUUCUAGGUCACUUGACGGUACCAGAGGAAUAAGCACCGGCUAACUCCGUGCCAGCAGCCGCGGUAAUACGGAGGGUGCAAGCGUUAUCCGGAUUCACUGGGUUUAAAGGGUGCGUAGGUGGGUUGGUAAGUCAGUGGUGAAAUCUCCGANCUUAACUUGGAAACUGCCAUUGAUACUAUCAGUCUUGAAUAUUGUGGAGGUCAGCGGAAUAUGUCAUGUANCGGUGAAAUGCUUAGAUAUGACAUA